rnacentral:rRNA from 1 species
CCUACGGGAGGCUGCAGUGAGGAAUAUUGGUCAAUGGACGCAAGUCUGAACCAGCCAUGUCGCGUGCAGGAUGACGGCCCUAUGAGUUGUAAACUGCUUUUGUACGAGAGUAAACGCAGACACGUGUACCUGUUUGUAAGUAUCUUAUGAAUAAGGAUCGGCUAACUCCGUGCCAGCAGCCGCGGUAAUACGGAGGAUUCAAGCGUUAUCCGGAUUUAUUGGGUUUAACGGGUGCGUAGGCGGGCGGUUAAGUUAGAGGUGAAAUUCGGCGGCUCAACUUCGGAAUUGCAUCUGAUACUGGUCGGCGAGAGAGUAGUUGCGGUAGGCGGAAUGCAUGGUGGAGCGGUGAAAUGCUUAGAGAUCAUAAAGAACACCGAUUGCGAAGGCAGCUUACCAAGCUACUUCUGACGUUGAGGCACGAAAGCGUGGGGAGCAAACAGGAUUAGAUACCCGAGUAGUC